rnacentral:misc_RNA from 1 species
AGCAGCCGCGGUAAUUCCAGCUCCAAUAGCGUAUAUUAAAGUUGCUGCAGUUAAAAAGCUCGUAGUUGAAUUUCGGGAUCAAUAUGUUGGUCGUGCCUCGGUACGUACUAGCUUAUUGGUUUCUCCCUUCUGACGAACCAUGAUGUCAUUUAUUUGGUGUUAUGGGAAAUCAGGACUGUUACUUUGAAAAAUUAGAGUGUUUAAAGCAGGCUCACGCUUGAAUACAUUAGCAUGGAAUAAUGAAAUAGGACGUUUGAUUCUAUUUUGUUGGUUUCUAGGAUCGACGUAAUGAUUAAUAGGGAUAGUUGGGGGCAUUAGUAUUCAAUUGUCAGAGGUGAAAUUCUUGGAUUUAUUGAAGACUAACUACUGCGAAAGCAUUUGCCAAGGAUGUUUUCAUUAAUCAAGAACGAAAGUUAGGGGAUCGAAGACGAUCAGAUACCGUCGUAGUCUUAAACCAUAAAACUAUGCCGACUAGGGAUCGGAUGAUGUUAAUUUUAAUGACUCAUUCGGCUACCCG